rnacentral:pre_miRNA from 1 species
CAUGCACUGGGGGGAGUCCCUCAGCCUGGAUUGCGAGAGGCCGCAGGCCAGGCCAAAGGACCCCACUGGUGCAUG